rnacentral:rRNA from 1 species
AUUGAACGCUGGCGGCAUGCCUUACACAUGCAAGUCGAACGGCAGCACGGGAGCAAUCCUGGUGGCGAGUGGCGAACGGGUGAGUAAUGUAUCGGAACGUACCAUUGAGUGGGGGAUAACGUAGCGAAAGUUACGCUAAUACCGCAUAUACCCUGAGGGGGAAAGAAGGGGCUCGCAAGACCUUGUGCUCUUUGGGCGGGGGAUAUCAGAUUAGCUAGUUGGUGAGGUAAAGGCUCACCAAGGGGACGAUCGGUAGCGGGUCUGAGAGGAUGAUCCGCCACACUGGAACUGAGACACGGUCCAGACUCCUACGGGAGGCAGCAGUGGGGAAUUUUGGACAAUGGGGGCAACCCUGAUCCAGCCAUGCCGCGCGAGUGAAGAAGGCCUUCGGGUUGUAAAGCUCUUUCGGCCGGGAGGAAAUCGUAUCAGUUAAUACCUGGUGUGGAUGACAGUACCGGAAUAAGAAGCACCGGCUAACUACGUGCCAGCAGCCGCCGUAACAC